CUUUUUUAUCAUGCAACUCAUGACCUUGGUCCCACAAGGCCCCAUGGUUCUACUUUCCUGUUUUCUUCCCAGGCUUCUCUGCUGUUGGAACAGGAAGACCAAACAGCUCCCUGAAGCAGGUUACCUGCUCUGUAUCCACUGUACCAGUUCUCUAAACUGGCUGAAUAUCAGGAACACCUGGGAUGCUGUUUGUACAAUAGAACAGAAAAAAGAGAAGAGGCCCAAGAACACACAUAUACUCACGAAUCUGGAGGAGAGACAGACGAGGCUGGGAAGAGACCAAUGAAAGGGCAUCAAAAAGGUAGGAGAAAAAUAAGGUAAUAAGUUACAGCCAUAACAACAACAACCACAGCACUAGCAAUGAUAGUAAUAGCAGCAAACACUCUAUGAAGGUAGACUAGGUGGCAGGCACUAUUCUAUGCUCUUUUCAUAAAACAAGUCAUUUAAUACUCCCAACCGUAUGAAAUGAGUACAGUUACCUGCCCCAUCUUACACAUGGGGAUACCACAUUAUUGGAGUAACAGUUGGUUACUCCAGAGCCUGUGCUCUUAACCACUUCAC
rnacentral:lncRNA from 1 species